AUACGGAAGGUCCGGGCGUUAUCCGGAUUUAUUGGGUUUAAAGGGAGCGCAGGCGGAGAUGCAAGCGUGACGUCAAAUUUCGGGGCUCAACCCCGUCACGCGUCGCGAACUGCGUCCCUUGGUUGCGGGAAGGGGAGGCGGAACUCGUGGUGUAGCGGUGAAAUGCAUAGAUAUCACGAAGAACUCCGAUCGCGAAGGCAGCCUUCCGGCCCGUCAACGACGCUCAUGCUCGAAGGUGCGGGUAUCAAACAGGAGUAGAUACCCUGGUAGUCCGCACAGUAAACGAUGGACACCCGCGGUUUGGCCUGUAUGGCUGAGCCGCCAAGCGAAAGCGUUAAGUGUCCCACCUGGGGAGUACGCCGGCAACGGUGAAACUCAAAGGAAUUGACGGGG
rnacentral:rRNA from 1 species